UACGUAGGGGGCAAGCGUUGUCCGGAAUUAUUGGGCGUAAAGCGUGUGUAGGCGGCUUGGCAAGUUGGAUGUGAAAGCCCACGGCUCAACCGUGGAAGCGCAUCCAAAACUGCUUCGCUCGAGUCUCGGAGAGGAAGGUGGAAUGCUUGGUGUAGAGGUGAAAUUCGUAGAUAUCAAGCAGAACACCUGCGGCGAAGGCGGCCUUCUGGACGAUGACUGACGCUGAGACACGAAAGCGUGGGGAGCAAACAGG
rnacentral:rRNA from 1 species